UACGAAGGGGGGCUAGCGUUGUUCGGAAUUACUGGGCGUAAAGGGCGCGUAGGCGGCCAUUCAAGUUAGAUGUGAAAGCCCUGGGCUCAACCUAGGAAUUGCAUUUGAUACUGUUUGGCUUGAGUUCGGGAGAGGUGAGUGGAAUUCCCAGUGUAGAGGUGAAAUUCGUAGAUAUUGGGAAGAACACCAGUGGCGAAGGCGGCUCACUGGACCGACACUGACGCUGAGGCGCGAAAGCGUGGGGAGCAAACAGG
rnacentral:rRNA from 1 species